rnacentral:lncRNA from 1 species
UAUGACUAUUUCAGACACCGCAAGGUUUGCAAAGGCAAAGGCAGGAAGAGAAGCUUGGUUUAGCCUGCGUUUAUUUUUGUGAUUGGAGAGUGAAGGCAGUCGAGAUAUCACAGGGCGUUCAGAAAGUUUCAGAAAGGGAAGUAUUUGUGCUUUAUCACUUGACCCAGAAACUCCAGCCGAGUGCUAAUCUUUGAUGGAUUCUGCCCGCCUCAUAGGCGCACUAAUAAUAAAAAUGAGGCAGAUGGGGAGCGUUUCAACACAUGACACAUCAAAUCCGUCUCCUGAGAUGUGCCCAUGCCCGUCACAGCCCUGCCUGGGUGGCUUCGAAUGCCGAGCACGGGUCGGGGGCAGGGGAGAGUCACCAUUUCGACCAAGCGCCCAGGGGAUGCCACCUCGAUACCCUCUUUAAGAACAAGGAGCCGGAACCACAGAGCGGCACCGAGGGGCUCUUCCCCUGGAGGUCAACGGAGAGGACAAGGGGUACAGUGGGAAGUCCUUGGAUCUGAGCCUGGCUGACCUGGACCUGGGUCCGGCACCCCACCCCCACCCCACUGGUUGUGAGUUAGACAAGACACUUUGAUCACAGGGACACAGUGCCACCCAGACUGGUUUAAGCAAGAAAGGUGACGUUAUGGGAAGCGUAUCGGGGGUCUACUUUGAAGUCUGAAACCAGUUCUCAGACAGAAAUGUUGACUUGCCAAAGCCAGCG